ACUCUCAAUUUGCUCUACAUGGAAAUAAACUCUAAGCCCGAGUCCAUCAACUUCUUAGCACCAUAGAUCCUUUUCCCUUAAUAACCCUGGCUGGGUUGGCAAACUGCAACAAGAGACAUAUACUUUGUUAUUCAUAUCAUCAUCUGCACUACACUGUGUUGAAGGUUGAUUCAAUAAUUGACUUGUUUUUACUGUAGAUAUUUAGCCCCUUAAUUUUCUGGUUUAGUGCAG
rnacentral:misc_RNA from 1 species